rnacentral:rRNA from 1 species
UGGGGGAUAUUGCACAAUGGGGGAAACCCUGAUGCAGCGAUGCCGCGUGGAGGAAGAAGGUUUUCGGAUUGUAAACUCCUGUCGUAAGGGAAGAGAAAGGACUGUACCUUACAAGAAAGCUCCGGCUAACUACGUGCCAGCAGCCGCGGUAAUACGUAGGGAGCGAGCGUUGUCCGGAAUGACUGGGUGUAAAGGGAGCGUAGGCGGGAUGGCAAGUCAGAUGUGAAACCUGAGGGCUCAACCUUCAGACUGCAUUUGAAACUGCUGUUCUUGAGUGAAGUAGAGGUAAGCGGAAUUCCUGGUGUAGCGGUGAAAUGCGUAGAGAUCAGGAGGAACAUCGGUGGCGAAGGCGGCUUACUGGGCUUUUACUGACGCUGAGGCUCGAAAGCGUGGGGAGCAAACAGGAUUAGAUACCCUGGUAGUCCACGCUGUAAACGAUGAUUACUAGGUGUGGGGGGAUUGACCCCUUCCGUGCCGCAGUUAACACAAUAAGUAAUCCACCUGGGGAGUACGACCGCAAGGUUGAAACUCAAAGGAAUUGACGGGGGCCCGCACAAGCAGUGGAGUAUGUGGUUUAAUUCGAAGCAACGCGAAGAACCUUACCAGGUCUUGACAUCGAGUGACGUAUCCAGAGAUGGAUAUUUCCUUCGGGACACAAAGACAGGUGGUGCAUGGUUGUCGUCAGCUCGUGUCGUGAGAUGUUGGGUUAAGUCCCGCAACGAGCGCAACCCUUAUCAUUAGUUGCUACGCAAGAGCACUCUAAUGAGACUGCCGUUGACAAAACGGAGGAAGGUGGGGAUGACGUCAAAUCAUCAUGCCCCUUAUGACCUGGGCUACACACGUACUACAAUGGCGAUCGAACAGAGGGAAGCAAGACAGCGAUGUGGAGCCAAUCCCAAAAAAUCGCCCCAGUUCAGAUUGCAGGCUGCAACUCGCCUGCAUGAAGUCGGAAUUGCUAGUAAUCGCAGAUCAGCAUGCUGCGGUGAAUACGUUCCC